rnacentral:rRNA from 1 species
GUGCCAGCAGCCGCGGUAAUACGUAGGGUGCGAGCGUUAAUCGGAAUUACUGGGCGUAAAGUGUGCGCAGGCGGCGUCGCAAGUCGAGUGUGAAAUCCCCGGGCUUAACUUGGGAAUUGCGCUCGAAACUACGAUGCUGGAGUGUGGCAGAGGAAGGUGGAAUUCCACGUGUAGCGGUGAAAUGCGUAGAGAUGUGGAGGAACACCGAUGGCGAAGGCAGCCUUCUGGGCCAACACUGACGCUCAUGCACGAAAGCGUGGGGAGCAAACAGGAUUAGAAACCCUUGUAGUCC